rnacentral:misc_RNA from 1 species
GUGAAUCAUCAAAUUUUUGAACGCAAAUUGCGCCUUUUUCGGAAGGCAUGGCGGUUUGAGGGCAACAGUUAACAAAAAAUGUGCAGCGCUUUUUGUUGCACACGUUGAUGAGCUUUGCAAGAAUCUUAAAUUUUUGGUGGCGCAUAAGAAACAGCGCGAUGAUUAUUUCCAGUUUGAGGGAAGAAAAAUUUUUUGUUGCUGGGGUGGUGAAAAGCGUGAUCGGGCAAUGGGUGUGGCAAGUUUAGUGAAUCAAAGCC